ACUCCUACGGGAGGCAGCAGUGGGGAAUAUUGCACAAUGGACGGAAGCCUGAUGCAGCGACGCCGCGUGAGGGAUGACGGCCUUCGGGUUGUAAACCUCUUUCAGUAGGGAAGAAGCGAAAGUGACGGUACCUGCAGAAGAAGCGCCGGCUAACUACGUGCCAGCAGCCGCGGUAAU
rnacentral:rRNA from 1 species